AUUGAACGCUGGCGGCAGGCCUAACACAUGCAAGUCGAACGAGUGGCGGACGGGUGAGUAAUGUCUGGGAAACUGCCCGAUGGAGGGGGAUAACUACUGGAAACGGUAGCUAAUACCGCAUACCAUCGAAUGUGUCCAGAUGGGAUUAGCUAGUAGGUGGGGUAAGGGCUCACCUAGGCGACGAUCCCUAGCUGGUCUGAGAGGAUGACCAGCCACCCUGUAACUGAGACACGGUCCAGACUCCUACGGGAGGCAGCAGUGGGGAAGAGUGCACAAUGGGCGCAAGCCUGAUGCGGCCCUGCCGAGUGGAGGAAGAAGGCCUUCGGGUUGUAAAGUUCUUUCAGCGGGGAGGCGUUACCCGCAGAAGAAGCACCGGCUAACUCCGUGCCAGCAGCCGCGGUAAUUC
rnacentral:rRNA from 1 species